rnacentral:lncRNA from 1 species
CCUAAAAAUAAUUUCACCAAUAGUAGGCGCACUUCCUAAGAAGACGCACUUCCUAAGAAUAGUUUCACCAAUAGGAGACGCACUUCCUAAGAAUAGUUUCACCAAUAGGAGACGCACUUCCUAAGUAAGUUUCACCAAUAGGAGACGCACAUCCUAAGUCAGUUUCACCAACAGGAGACACACAUCCUAAGGAGACGCACUUCCUAAGAUAAGUUUCACCAAUAGGAGACGCACUUCCUAAGAAUAAUUUCACCAAUAGGAGACGCACUUCCUAAGGAGACGCACAUCCUAAGAAUAUUUUCACCAAUAGGAGACGCACUUCCUAAGAUAAGAUUCACCAAGAGGAGACGCACAUCCUAAGAAUAGUUUCACCAAUAGGAGACGCACUUCCUAAGAAUAAUCUCACCAAUAGGAGACGCACUUCCUAAGUAUAGUUGUACCCAUAGGAGACGCACUUCCUAAUUGAGUUUUACCAAUAGGAGACGCACUUCCUAAGAACAGGUUUUCCCAAUAGGAGACGCACUUCCUAAGUUUAUUGUACCCACAGGAGACGCACUUCCUAAGUUUAUUGUACCCAAUAGGAGACGCACUUCCUUAAAGUUUAGUUUUGCCCAUAGGAGACGCACUUCCUAAGUUUACUUUUACCCCAUAGGAGACGCACUUCCUAAAUUAAGAUUUCACGCAUAGGAGACGCACUUCCUAAAUU